rnacentral:miRNA from 1 species
UUUUCAAUAAUUGCAUCAAUA